ensembl:lncRNA
GGACAGAGGAGCCUGGCAGGCUACAUUCCAUGGACUCACAGAGUCAGACACGACUGAAGGGAUUUAGCGCAAGCCACUGGGGAAGCCCUAUUGCUCACUAUAGUAGGCUAAAAUAAAGAUUCCUCAGGAUGUUCAAGCCCUAAUCCUCGGAGGAACGUGUCAGUGCUACUUUGUAUGACAAAUGGGACUCUGCAAAUGUGAUCAAGAUGUCUAGAUGUCUCCAGGUGCGGCUGGCCUGUAUAAAGAGAGACUCUGCCAGAGGCCAAGAUAACCUGAGCAUUCUUUACUCGAGAAGGCCCAAGGGCAGAAAGGAGGACAGCGGUCUGUUGUUCUGAAGACACCACUAUGAGUUGGCAUCACGGGCAAAUGGCCAGUCUGUGGAAGUGGAUCUGCCUGGCCUAUCUUCUU